AUUGAACGCUGGCGGCAGGCCUAACACAUGCAAGUCGAGCGGUAGAGAGAAGCUUGCUUCUCUUGAGAGCGGCGGACGGGUGAGUAAUGCCUAGGAGUCUGCCUGGUAGUGGGGGAUAACGUUCGGAAACGGACGCUAAUACCGCAUACGUCCUACGGGAGAAAGCAGGGGACCUUCGGGCCUUGCGCUAUCAGAUGAGCCUAGGUCGGAUUAGCUAGUUGGUGGGGUAAUGGCUCACCAAGGCGACGAUCCGUAACUGGUCUGAGAGGAUGAUCAGUCACACUGGAACUGAGACACGGUCCAGACUCCUACGGGAGGCAGCAGUGGGGAAUAUUGGACAAUGGGCGAAAGCCUGAUCCAGCCAUGCCGCGUGUGUGAAGAAGGUCUUCGGAUUGUAAAGCACUUUAAGUUGGGAGGAAGGGCAGUAAAUUAAUACUUUGCUGUUUUGACGUUACCGACAGAAUAAGCAUCGGCUAACUCUGUGCCAGCCGCCCGCAGUAA
rnacentral:rRNA from 1 species